AUUGAACGCUGGCGGCAGGCUUAACACAUGCAAGUCGAGCGCCCCGCAAGGGGAGCGGCAGACGGGUGAGUAACACGUGGGAAUCUACCCAUCCCUACGGAACAACUCCGGGAAACUGGAGCUAAUACCGUAUACGCCCUUCGGGGGAAAGAUUUAUCGGGGAUGGAUGAGCCCGCGUUGGAUUAGCUAGUUGGUGGGGUAAAGGCCUACCAAGGCGACGAUCCAUAGCUGGUCUGAGAGGAUGAUCAGCCACAUUGGGACUGAGACACGGCCCAAACUCCUACGGGAGGCAGCAGUGGGGAAUAUUGGACAAUGGGCGCAAGCCUGAUCCAGCCAUGCCGCGUGAGUGAUGAAGGCCUUAGGGUUGUAAAGCUCUUUCACCGAUGAAGAUAAUGACGGUAGCGUGAGAAGAAGCCCCGGCUAACUUCGUGCCAGCAGCCGCCGUAAGAC
rnacentral:rRNA from 1 species